UGGGGAAUAUUGGACAAUGGGCGCAAGCCUGAUCCAGCCAUGCCGCGUGAGUGAUGAAGGCCCUAGGGUUGUAAAGCUCUUUCACCGGUGAAGAUAAUGACGGUAACCGGAGAAGAAGCCCCGGCUAACUCCGUGCCAGCAGCCGCGGUAAUACGAAGGGGGCUAGCGUUGUUCGGAUUUACUGGGCGUAAAGCGCACGUAGGCGGACUAUUAAGUCAGGGGUGAAAUCCCGGGGCUCAACCCCGGAACUGCCUUUGUUACUGGUAGUCUUGAGUUCGAGAGAGGUGAGUGGAAUUCCGAGUGUAGAGGUGAAAUUCGUAGAUAUUCGGAGGAACACCGGUGGCGAAGGCGGCUCACUGGCUCGAUACUGACGCUGAGGUGCGAAAGCGUGGGGAGCAAACAGG
rnacentral:rRNA from 1 species